rnacentral:rRNA from 1 species
CAGUGCAAGCCGCAUUAAGGUGAAACCGCGAAUGGCUCAUUAAAUCAGUUGUGGUUCAUUGGACCUUACAGUUUUACUUGGAUAACUGUGGUAAUUCUAGAGCUAAUACAUGCUUGGAGAGUCCCGACCAGAAGUGGAAGGGACGCAUUUAUUAGAUCAAACCAAUCGGGCGGCACCGCCGUUCCCGCGAGUCCUGGCGACUCUGAGUAACUUUGGGCUGAUCGCACGGUCUCCGAACCGGCGACGUGUCCUUCAAAUGUCUGCCUUAUCAACUGUCGAUGGUAUGUUCUGCGCCUACCAUGGUUGUAACGGGUGACGGGGAAUCAGGGUUCGAUUCCGGAGAGGGAGCCUGAGAAACGGCUACCACAUCCAAGGAAGGCAGCAGGCGCGCAAAUUACCCACUCCCGGCACGGGGAGGUAGUGACGAAAAAUAGCGAUACAGGACUCAUCCGAGGCCCUGUAAUCGGAAUGAGCACACUUUAAAUCCUUUAACGAGUACCAAUUGGAGGGUAAGUCUGGUGCCAGCAGCCGCG